GGUUCCGUAGCUCAGUUGGAUAGAGCAACAGCCUUCUAAGCUGUGGGUCAUGGGUUCGAGCCCCGUCGGAAUCA
rnacentral:tRNA from 1 species